UGGCUUAGCAGAAACAAAUCUGACUAGCCUCCACGAGGACACAGGAUCGAUCCCUGGCCUCACUCAGUAGGUUAAGGAUCAGGCGUUGCCAUGAGCUAUGGCGGAGGUCACAGACGCGGCUCGGAUCUGGAGGUGCUGUGGCUCUGGCGUAGGCUGGCAGCUACGGCUUCGAUUGGACCCCUAGCCCGAGAACCACCAUAUACUGCAGGUGAGGCCCUAAAAAGACAAAAAAUCCAAUUAGAUCAAACAUGGGAAUGAUCCUCCUUGCUUGUCCUCCUUCCUUGCUCUUCUAGGAGGAUGACUCAGCCCCACCACAGCCCCAGAAUUUAAGCACAUCCCCAGGAGCUUCCAUUGCAGCUCAGUGGUAAUGAUCCGGACUGGUAUCCAUGAGGACACGGGUUCGUUCCCCGGCCUUGCUUGGUGGGUUGGAGAUCUGGCGUUGGUGAGAGCUAUGGUGUAUGUCGCAGAUGAGGCUCGGAUCUGGUGUCACAGUGGCUGAGAUGUAGGCUGGCAGCUGUAGCUCAGAUUCCAUCCCUAGCCUGGGCACCUCCAUAUAGCACAAGUUCAGCCAUAAAAACCUAAAAGAUAAAAAUACCUUCCCCUCGGAGUUCCCGUCGUGGCUCAGUGGUUAACGAAUCCACUGAGGAUGCGGGUUCGUUCCCUGCCUUGCUCAGUGGGCUAAGGAUCUGGCGUUGCCGUGAGCUGUGGUGUAGGUUGCAGACACAGCUGGGAUCCCACGUUGCUGUGGCUGUGGUGUAGGCCGAUGGCUACAGCUCCAAUUAGACCCCUAGCCUGGGAACCUCCAUAUGCUCGGGAGGCGGCCCUAGAAAAGGCAAAAAGACAAAAACAACAACAACAACAAAAUUCCCCUCAACCGUGAAAUUAUUCAAAAAAAGUAAAUAAAUAAAGAUAAAUGCAUCCCCAGAGGGAGAUGCUGCAGCCCCCCUGGGAGGAGCAGGGACACUGGGCUCCCUUCAAUGGAGGGACAACAGAACAGACGGAAAAGAGUCAAUAAUCCACAGAGACAGGAAUUUCUGAUGACAGGGGUUGAUAUACUGGCCAUCAAACACACUGAAGGUGGCAGCAGAGACUGUCAGGAGGACAGGGGACCUCUCUGAGCCGAGAUCUGAAGGGCGACAAAGGGCCUGAGCCCUGGUGCCUGAAAGGCAAAGGGGAAGAAGAGGAACGAAGAGCUGAGACAGACAAGGAGACUGUGCCCCGGGCAGUGAACCCGCAGCACUGGGUCUGCUCCCAGGACGGGGCUGCAGACACAGGCAGGGCCCUGAGGGCGACACAGGGCUGUGCCACCACAGGGAGGAGUCGGGGUCUGUCCUGAGGCCCAAGAAGAGCCUGCGGAGGUCUGGGCAUCAGGAAACACGUCGACUCCCUUCGGGUUUGCAGGAGACACUCGUUCUGGUCUCUCUUACUCCGAGCCUAUAGUCCUGCCUCCACGGCAGCCUUUCUGCUCUUCUCCUUCCUGCUGGGAGGACGAGGACCCCUUUAAAACUCUAACUCCAAAGAGAAGUGCCCCAAACAAACACACACCCAAUUAGGCCAAUCCUUUCAGGGGUCAGUGCUGCUCAGAAGGCGUUGCUGCUCUGUCCUCUCAUCUCCAUGUUACAAGGGGGCUCCCUGUGGCCCACAUGGGAGACAUUCAUGAGGCAGUUUGCGAAGGGGGAACAGAAAUCAGGUGUGCCUGAAUUCUCUAAUGGGAUCUGUCUGGCGUUCCCAUCGUGGUUUAGCCUUAAGGAACCCGAUAGUAGUCAUGAGGAUGCAGGUUCCAUUCCUGGCCUUGCUCAGUAGGUUAAGGAUCUGGCAUUGCCGUGAGCUGUUAUGAGGCCACAGAUGUGGCUCAGAUCCCUUGCUGCGGCUAUGGUGUAGGCCGGGGGCUGCAGUUCCAACUUGACCCCUAUCCUGGGAACUUCCAUAUGCCAAAGGUGUGGUGCAAAAAAAGACAAAAAUAAAUAAAUAAAUAAAUAAAUAAAAUUUUAAAAAAUCAAAAUACAGAAUUGCAACAUUAUAUCCACGGGUGCAGGAAACACUGUAAGGAGUCAGCUUAGAAAUAAGCUCUAACUGGUGUAAGUGCAGACACAGCUUGGAUCCCUCCCUGCUGUGGCUGUGGUGUAGGGCAAGAGCUGCAGCUCUCAUUUGACCCCUAGCCUGGGACCUUCCAUAUGCUGCCUCGCAGCCCUAAAAUGCAAAAAAAAAAAGAAAGAAAAGAGGAGUUCCCGUCAUGGCGCAGUGGUUAACGAAUCCGACUAGGAACCAUGAGGUUGUGGGUUUGACCCCUGCCCUGGCUCAGUGGGUUAAGGAUCCAGCGUUGCCGUGAGCCGUGGUGUAGGUUGCAGAUGUGGCUCGGAUCCCCGAGUUGCUGUGGCUCUGGCGUAGGCCGGUGGCUACAGCUCCGAUUAGACCCCUAUCCUGGGAACCUCCAUAUGCCUUGGCAGCAGCCCAAGAAAUAGGAAAAAGAAAGAAAGGAAAGAAAAAAAAAGAAAUAAGCUCUGGGCAAAUUUCUUCAUGAUGAGCAGAAGGUUCCGGUCCAUCCAGCCCAUCGCUCAUCACGUGAAGAGGACAGUUAGGAGGGACCUGAGGGAAACGUCUUGAUAUCACGUCACCGCUCACUACUGCACCCAUCACAGACAAAGGAAGAAAACGGAAUAUAAAGCUAACCGGUUAAACUAGAUUUUAACGUUAAUAUGAAAAAGAUUAGUGAUGUAUUUGCCAAGUGCUCAACAAAAUAGUCUAAAAUCAUUGAUCACUCACCAAGGAAGUUUACCAAGAUAAAGAAAACACAGGAGUUCCCUUCGUGGCUCAGAGGUUUAAAAAACCCGAUUAGGAUCCAUGAGGAUUUGGGUUCAACCCCUGGCCUCGCUCAGUGGGUUAAGCUUCUGGUGUUGCUGUGAGCUGUGGUAUAGGUUGCUGUGGCUGUGGUGUAGGCUGGCAGCCACAGCUCUGAUUCGACCCCUAGCCUGGGACCUUCCAUAUGCGGUGGGUGUUGCCCUAAAAAGCCAAAAAAAGAAAAAAGAAAAAAGAAAAGAAAAGAAAAAGAAAACACAGAUGUUAUGUUUUUUACUUUUUAAGGCCGCAUCUGUGGCAUAGGGAAGGUUCCAAGCUAGGGGUCAAAUUGGAGCUGCAGCUGCUGCUCUACACCUAUACCCACAGCAACACUGGAUCCGAGACCUACACCACAGCACUGCCAGAUCCUUAACCCACUGAAUGAGGCCAGGGAUCGAACCCACAUCCUCGUGGAUGCUAGUCGCGUUUGUUUCCGCUGAGCCACGAUGGGAAUUUCUGCGCCAAAAAGUUAGUAAUUAUUUACAAGAAAGUAGAAAUUGAACAUACUGAUUAAUUUCAAGCUCCAAAUAAUUCAACUGCGAAACAAAAUGUAAAUGCAGUACAAAACACCCACAACACUUUGAAUGUUCAUUUAAAGAGGCACCAGUUAGUGACACUUUUUUCCCUACUAAUCUCCACCCUUCCUCCACCCCACACUACGGCUUACAUGCAACUGCCUAAAUCAAGGCAACUGCCCCAGGCUGAACAGGAAUUGCAAAAGCAAGUUAUCAUUUGUUACAAAUAAUUACUAAAUGCACAAACUUGCAGUUCCCGGCCUGGAGAUCCUGAUUUGCCCUCUGGGCUACAACCCUUCUAUCUGGGUUGUGCUUCCUUUGCCGCCACACUCUCACACCCUCAGGGGGCUAUGCUUACUUCCUGCUGGCUUUUUUCUUGGCUCCUCUCAUUAUUUCCAAUUAUGCCCAGUGUAGCAACAAUGGGGCCCCUGUCCAGGGCCUGAACAAGGACUCCUGUCUAACACUCAGAAACAUAUCGUCUGACGAGUGUGCUGACAAAGCAAAAGACUGUUCUGGAAGGAACACUCAGGCCCAGGGCAGUAGGGUGAGAGAACCGACAACUGCUCUGCCAUGUGGAUCAUAGAUAGUAUCACCUUUUAUGGGAAUGGGGUCAGUUUCUGGGCUGUCUCUUGCUCUGCCCAUAUCCGAUCUGACUCAGGGCCCUUCCUGGUGGCAAGUGACUCUCUCAGGCAAGAUGGGUUCCAGCUCCAAGGCAUCUGGGAGGUUGGUCCUCUCUCCUUCCUCAAGACUCCACCUGGUUGUUUUCCAGGCAGCACCACCUUCCUUAUCAGGGCCCCCAUUGAGAAAUGUCUCAUGCUAGCAGUAAUUAAGCUGCCUGGCCAAGGUUUGUGGUUGGGGUCAAGAGUUUCCUAACACCAGCAACUGUUGCUAUGAAGGCCAAGGUUCCAACUCUUUUAUCCCAGCCACUCUCACUUUGCCUGAAAUGCCUCACCGUUGUUAUCCCCCCUUCUACCACUAAUACGCUGCCGGUCUCUCAGGGAUUUUCUCCAAUUCCUGCUGAUUCUCUUUUAAUUACUUCUUUAUUUACGUCUAUCAUACUGCAGCAGGUACAAGCAUAAACCGCUGUUAUGCCAGUGUCUCCCUAGAAGAGCUUCCGGCAUCGCCUAAGUUACUAUCGUCCUCUGUAAUUCUUGUCUCCAGUUUCUCUCUCUGUCGCCCUCUGCACCUGCUUCUCCUGGAUUCCCCUUGCCUACGUAUUCGCAACUGAAUAAAACGCUCGCCUACGGGAAGAGACCAUUUUUCAUCCGGAGAUAUCUGAGAAGGAACAGUACCCGGGGUCCCACGGCUGGUCAGGGUCACCUCCUCCUACGCGGGAUGCGGGGAAGGGCUGACGACGCAGGGGAGGCCUGCGGGGCAGAAGGACCGGCCUGGGGAGCCGCGAGGACAGAGGGGCUGCAGGGAGGGAGGGUGUCUCAGCAGAGGGGGGCUCCCGAAUCCCAGCACCAGGGCGAGGACGCGGCUUCUCCGGGAGCCGGGCGGGCGGCGCUGCCUCCAGGGCGGGGGGCGAGGUGGGGGCGCGGGUCCUCUUCGCGGAAGAGGACUUUACGUGGGGGGUGGGGGCGACGAAGGCACUAAAGGUUUUUAAGCAGGAACGUAUCUCGAAACGCAGCGUCUAUGUGGACCUCAGGCAGAAAAGUCAAAGGCAGAGACUGGCCUCAGAGCGAUUUCAAACCCAAAGGAAAACAUGCCCGACCCAGAACGGCGACGUCCGGAAUUGCUCCGGGUGGAGACGCCGCUGCUGGAAUAGAAACUCGACAGUCACUCCCAAGACUGUGAGGACACAGCAAGGGGCACCUCGCAGCCAAAUUACACAAGAAAGGAGCAAAAAAAACCCGACCCGCUAUCUGACCUUCACUUCCUGGACUGUUUCCCUUUCCCGAGGAAAAUGUCUG
rnacentral:lncRNA from 1 species